GCGAGUAUAGCACAACGGUUAGUGCUUUAGUCUUCCAAACUAGAGAUAUGAGUUCGAUUCUCAUUACUCGCU
rnacentral:tRNA from 1 species